AUACGGAGGGUGCAAACGUUGCUCGGAAUUAUUGGGCGUAAAGCGCGCGUAGGCGGCUUGAUAAGUCGGAUGUGAAAGCCCUUGGCUCAACCAAGGAAGUGCAUACGAAACUGUCAGGCUUGAGUAUGGGAGAGGAUUGUGGAAUUCCCGGUGUAGAGGUGAAAUUCGUAGAUAUCGGGAGGAACACCAGUGGCGAAGGCGACAAUCUGGACCAAUACUGACGCUGAGGUGCGAAAGCGUGGGGAGCGAACCGGAUUAGAUACCCGAGUAGUCC
rnacentral:rRNA from 1 species